AAGUGCGCCGGCGCUUCUCCGGAUUAAUCAGGCAAGCCGAAACCGGGCACGCAAGUAGCCCUAAUAGUGCAGGCAAGUAGCGCUACUUGUGAACAAUUCCAUGACGGUGAAGAAAUCAACACCGUGGACAACUAGUGCUUCAUAGCCACAGGUGCCUCCAGCUACUUUAGAUCUUUGCCAAUAGCUAUUGAAAGCAUAAGAAGCAUGAGCCAGCAGUGUGUUGGGCUGAAAGCAUGACCCACUGGGCUGAAGUGAAUCACAGUCUGCACCUGAUCCACAAGCAUAGUUCAUAGCUUCUUCUAUAAUUGGGUCAGGUACUGCUGGUUUUGCAACGCACCAAAGGGCCGUGCUUGACGCACUACGGUGAGGAGGCGGCUGAGGAUACACGACGGGAGGUUGGAAUAUAGGUGGGCUUGGGAUAGAUAUGUCAGGAGAUGGAAUAUUUGAAGGUGGGCUAGUUCCAGAACUUGGUGGGCUGGGCUCAUAAUAUGGUGGAUUCAAACCUGGCUCUGUCGGGCUUGGAAUGUCGACAGGGGGUUCGGGUGUGUACCCUGUUGGACUCGGGAUAUUACUGGAGGGGCUUGGGAUGUAAGUUGAUGGGCUUGGAUACGUUACAUCAGGGCUUGGGAUGUAAGUUGACGGACUUGGAUUUGUGACAUCGGGGCUUGGGAUGUAAAUUGACGGGCUCGGAUUUGUUAUGUCAGGGCUAGGGAUAUAUAUUGAUGGGCUUGGAUUUGUGACAUCUGGGCUAGGAAUGUAAAUUGAUGGGCUUGGAGUUGUGACGUCUGGGCUGGGGAUGUAAAUUGACGGGCUUGGAUUUGUGACAUCUGGGCUUUGUGGAGGAUUUGUUAUGGGCAACAUUGGAGGAGAAAUAUCAGGUGGUGGUGGUGGUGAGGAUGAAAUUGUGGGGGAAGGUUCUCCUUCUGUUGGUGGAGCUGGGGAAGAAGGCGUGUUACUUCCUGCAGGGACUGGGAAUGCGGAGGAAGGUGGUGGUAGUGAGGUGGAAGGAGGGUUUUCACAAACUGGCGGUGUAUUUUCUGGCAAUGGCAUUGGUGAAAGAGACUCAAAGGGUGGAAGAGAGAAUGGUGAGUUUACACCAUAAGGUUCAGUGUUUGUUGAAUCCACGUCUAAGUGCUCCACUACUUUUAGAUUUUUGGGUGAUAGGUAUCUUGAAGUAGUGAGAGGUCUGUAUAAAUGUCUCGUCUUUCUUGCAUCUGCUAAACAAUUAUAUGAACAUUGUUUGUGAGUGAUACACGAGUUUACAUUGAAUUAGCGAGCCUCUCUAUAAGAAUAGGUAGAGGGAUUUAUAUUUACUUGUCAGGUAUAAAAAGACUGCAAAUUGCAGCAACAUAUACAACAUAAAGAAAAGGAUUACCACAAGUGAAGAGAGUAGUAAGACAGAGGCAGAGGACUGGAAUGCAUACUCCAAUAUGAUGUAAUCUUCUUAUUUCCAUGAUCAGGAUGAUUCCGAAAGCUAAUGAUCAGUCUGCAACACCACACUACAACCCUGGUGAUUGAGACAACAUAGGGGGUUUAUAUAAUGCAGGAUAUAUAUAGAAUACAAUUAUUAGGUACAGGAAAGAUGGUCAGAUAACAUGAUUCUUAAACACUUCACUUUACACUUGGUGGUACUAAAGAUAUCAGAUGUGUGCAUGAAGAAAUGUUAAAGACAGAAAAAAAAGAUUGUGCGAUAUGAGCCCAAUUUUAUGGGCUUGCUGUGUUUGUAGUAGAGGCAUAUAUGCUUGCUUGACACUGGAAAUAUACCAAAAGGUCUGAUAAUCUUAGGAGAAGCGAACAAAGCUAAAACGGAUUACCUCCAUUUUUGAGCCUCUGUUCUGCGCUUGAUGGUACGUUCAUUCCGCAUUUGGUACGAGAUUGAAAUUGCAGCAGAUUCUACAAGCUGGUAAUCAUCAAACCAUUGAGCCUAGAAGAUUAUACCAUAAAGUUUACAUGCAUGUCUUCGAUAUGGAAGAGCUUACAAAUAUGAGGUUUUGAAUGGUGAUUAGUUAUUAAACUAAUUACAAUGAUUGACUUAAAUGGAAGUCCUUUUCUGAGAAAAGGCUGAAUUGCUUAAUGAUGUUCCAAAAUCCAGAACCUCCAUCUAAACAACAAUUGUAUUUUAUUUGUCCUAUAAUUUUUUCUGAUAAUGUACAAUGUAUUUGUUAUUAUUAAAACAACUGAGUAUAAGUAGUGGAUGCUGA